rnacentral:rRNA from 1 species
UACGUAGGGGCAAGCGUUAUCCGGAUUUACUGGGUGUAAAGGGAGCGCAGACGGAACUGCAAGUCUGAUGUGAAAGCCCGGGGCUCAACCGCGGGACUGGCAUCGGAUACUGUGGAUCUGGAGUGCCGGAGGGGCAAGCGGAAUUCCUGGUGUAGCGGUGAAAUGCGUAGAUAUCAGGAGGAACACCGGCGGCGAAGGCGGCUUGUUGGACGGCAACUGACGCUGAGGCUCGAAAGCGUGGGGAGCAAACAGGAUUAGAUACCCU